rnacentral:lncRNA from 1 species
CUCAAAAAACUUACAUCAUCAGCGAGCUAAGCUGAGGUCGUCAGUACAUCUUCGAACCACCUUUUAGCGUUGGGCACGGUCAUACAGUCGAUGGUAUAACUAUCGCUAAAAAAUGAAAAAAAGUUACGAAAAAUACAAAAAAAUAGUAGCAAAAUCAUAAAAUACUUACUCGGACUUAAGGGAUUUGAACCAAUCAUCGAACGCCUUCUGUUUGACCGGGUCGACGUCGCGAAAAAGAUUGGGGAACGUCCCAUCCACAAACCCCCUUCUCUUCGCCUCGACUGUGUAUGGGGAAACAAUGUACUGUGACGACAAUCUCGAUCUCUUACCUACCAUCAGCUCUGGCGCGUCAUUAGC